rnacentral:lncRNA from 1 species
AUGGGUCUCUGCUCAUGGGUGUCUGUGUUGGUGUGUGGACAUGUGUCCAGGUGGUCUGUGAGUCUGGGCUCCUGCGGGUGUAUGCCCCGAUGUAUGAACCUAUUUUUUUCUGUCUCUAUGCGCAGGGAUUUGUGUGUACUGUGUAGACACCACUCCAAGUGGUUCUGCCUGAACCUUCAGCCUCCCCGGGGCCUUGGGUCCGAUGCGUAUGGCCGGACUCCGCUCAUUUGCGUGGGGAACCGCGUAUGUCUUCAGGGAUGCAUGUGGGCUCAGGGUGUGUACAGGCCACUCCUACCAGGUCCCACAUGUGCCUGGGAGCGCAGGGACACUGCGAGCAGCCCGGGACCCAGCCCUGGUGGGGACAGAGCGCUGGCCUGCGCUGCAGUGACGGGUUUGCUUUUUGCUCGACUCUUCGAGAGAGAGACGGAGUGAAGAGGUGAGAGCAGCGUCCACCCGGCUGGGACCGCCAUCUCACGGCCUUUCUGCUGGCUCCUCCCUCUGCUGCCCUGUUCAGUUUCCAGCCCACGGCAGGGGAUUGGAGACACGGAGACCUCCUUGUCCCCUCCACCUGCCCUUCCAGGUUUCAAUGUUUUUUUUUCUUAUUCUGCAUGCAUUUUUCCUUUUUGAGAAAAAUGAGAUGUUGGCUCCCGUGGAGAAAAAGUAAUAUAUAUAAAUAUAUUUCUUAUAGCAGAGGAGGAAAGAUACAGAAAAGCACAUAAAAAAGACGGUCAUUUGUGCUCUCUACCCUCCCCUCCCACCUAGAGAGGUUGGGACAUGUUUCUGGGGUGUGUGUCCAUCUGGGUCUGUUGCCUCUUCUCUGCCCACUGGCCUCCGUGUCUGUCUCUGUCUCUCCAUCCUCUGGCCCACAGACACGGGCUCUCCCUCUGGACUGCCAGCCUCUUGGUUCUUUGAGACAUUCAUUCGUAAAACUUGUUCCAAAGAGGAAACCGCCACCCCCCACCCCCCACGGCCCCUGCGGCUUUGUGACUGCACGUGCCUCCCUGUGUAUCUGUGUGAGCCCCCUGUGCUGGCUCUGUCUUUCUCAGCCCCUUCCCUGCCUCCCUUUCUCUACAGUUUCACUGACCUCCCUUCCAGGAAUUGCGGUUCCUCGGUGUGUAAUGUGUGCGUGUGCGGUGUGCGUGGCGUGUGGAGCAUGUGCGUUUUCCUGACCCUUCCAGGCUGCGGCCCCGCGCUGCCGUUCGUCUCUUUGCUCAUCCUCUGCCCCUUCGUCUCUUCCCUCCCUCCCCUCCUAAAAAUUCCAACCAGACCUCGUGCUGGACACACACACACAGUCCCUCGUCUUUUUCUCUCAUCUCUGUCUUCUUUUCCCAUUUUUCUCUUGGGGCUCCAGAAAGCUGUGGUUUGCAGAGAGAAAGAGAGAGACCGACAGAAACACAGAAAUAAAGGACUGGCCGGGAAGAGACGUGGAGG